AGAAUCGUUCUUUGAAUUUUUAGCCGUUGGUCAAAUUAAGCAAGGUCCUGACUUUCCAACUCUUCAGAAAACCCUUCUUGGCUUGGUUGUUUUGGGAAAAUGUGUUUCCAAGAGUUCUGCUCACCAAAUUACAAAUGUUUGAGUUGCAGUGAAGAGCUGCGAGUCUCCAUCGAUCGAACCUUGCAAAAGUAU